UACGGGGGGGGCAAGCGUUGUUCGGAAUUACUGGGCGUAAAGGGCUCGUAGGCGGCCAACUAAGUCAGACGUGAAAUCCCUCGGCUUAACCGGGGAACUGCGUCUGAUACUGGAUGGCUGGAGUUUGGGAGAGGGAUGCGGAAUUCCAGGUGUAGCGGUGAAAUGCGCAGAUAUCGGGAAGAACACCCGUGGCGAAGGCGGUUCUCUGGGACGGUACUGACGCUGAGACGCGAAAGCGUGGGGAGCGAACAGG
rnacentral:rRNA from 1 species